GCUUCACAAUUCUUAGUUCAGGGCUUGAGAUGGCCAUCAGGGAACAGCAGGGACAGGCAUGAGGCAGGAACUGAGAGUGCCUGUGCUGACCUGUUGCACGUGAGUGAGGUGAUAGGGCUGAGUGGCCACAGCAGCAGGUUCUAACAGCCCUGUGGUCAUUCAGAGUGGCAGGUCAUGGCCGAGAUCAAUGCAGGAAGGACAGACAGCAUGUCAGGAGCAGCAGGGACUGAGCACAAGCCAUGGCAUAGCAAUCAGCUGUGGCUUGGGGACUCAGGCCUGAGUCAAAGCAGGGCUAUUGGCAGAUAGAACGCAGCCCAGGUGAGACUUGCUAGGGCAAGCAAGCUCCAUUAAUGCUGCCAGGGCCCUGCUAAUUGCUUGAUCCCACCUGCGGAGAAGUGGAGGUGUAACUCCCAAGUAUAACUAGACUUCCAAUCAAUAUGUAUUCUCCCAGAAAAUUGUCAGGAGGAAUGAAGGAUGGAGUCCCAUGAGUAAGAAGUAGGGUGUCUUCGUGCCUCGGAGCUGCCUUGCUGCUUCAAAGACUGCAUACCGUCUGCUGCCCUGAAGGUGACUGCAUGCAGCUUGGUCGGGCUGGCGUCUCAUUAUCCCUCUGCUGCAGGCUUCCAGCAGCUCCCCAAGCAGGGAGUUUUGAAGCUUCUGGAUAAUGGCAUCUUCAAACUCCUGCUAACAGCAGUGUGGUAGAAAUGUCUUCCCACUUCUGAAGCAUAGUUUUGGUCCCCUCCAAGCUUCAGCUUUGCUGGAGUGGCCAAGGCACCUUGAAGUAAGGGCGAACCUACGGUGACUGCUUUCUGUAACGCAUAUUUGCACAUCAGCUCUAACAUAAAACAAGUAUCUUCCCUGCCAGAUUUGUACUCUCCUGGUAAAGAGGAUACCCAGCAGUCUUUACUCAGGUUUGCUCUCAAGACAGAGGCCUCACAUCUCGGUCCACCAGCCAGGAAGAUGUUGGCCUUCAGGUCAGUGGGUUUUAAUAUCUUCAGAUCAGAACAUUCUCCAAAAUACAGACCCUCCCUGGAUCGAGCAGCCCUGGACAAAUCCAAACACCCUUCAGCCAGGAAAGGUCCUAAGGCCAGGCCCACCCUAAGCCAAAUAGCACCCGUGAAUUGAAGGUCUGGUUUGCUGGUAAGUGCUGCCAGGAAAACACCCAUCCCAACCCAAC
rnacentral:lncRNA from 1 species